rnacentral:rRNA from 1 species
UACGUAGGGGGCAAGCGUUGUCCGGAUUUAUUGGGCGUAAAGAGCGUGUAGGCGGUUAGGUAGGUCCGUUGUGAAAACUCGAGGCUCAACCUCGAGACGCCGAUGGAAACCAUCUAACUAGAGUCCGGAAGAGGAGAGUGGAAUUCCUGGUGUAGCGGUGAAAUGCGCAGAUAUCAGGAAGAACACCCGUGGCUAAGGCGGCUCUCUAGUACGGUACUGACGCUGAGGAGCGAAAGUGUGGGGAGCGAACAGG